AACGAACGCUGGCGGCGUGCCUAACACAUGCAAGUCGAACGAGAAAGGGGCUUCGGCCCUGAGUAAAGUGGCGCACGGGUGAGUAACACGUAGGUAACCUGCCUCUAAGAUCGGGAUAACCUGUCGAAAGACGAGCUAAUACCGGAUAAGACCACGGUUUCCUCGGAAGCAGGGGGUCAAAGGUAGCCUCUACUUGUAAGCUAUCACUUAGAGAUGGGCCUGCGUACCAUUAGCUAGUUGGUGGGGUAACGGCCCACCAAGGCAAAGAUGGUUAGCUGGUCUGAGAGGAUGAUCAGCCACACUGGAACUGAGACACGGUCCAGACUCCUACGGGUGCAG
rnacentral:rRNA from 1 species